AGAAUGAACGCUGGCGGCGUGCUUAACACAUGCAAGUCGAACGGAAUCCAAGGAGCUUGCUCUGGAAGAUUUAGUGGCGAACGGGUGAGUAUCACGUGAGCAACCUGCCCCGAAGACUGGGAUAACACCGGGAAACCGGUGCUAAUACCGGAUACCUUCCAAUGACCGCAUGGUCGAUGGAAGAAAUGUUUUUCGCUUCGGGAGGGGCUCGCGGUCCAUCAGCUUGUUGGCGGGGUAACGGCCCACCAAGGCUUCGACGGAUAGCUGGUCUGAGAGGACGAUCAGCCACACUGGAACUGAGACACGGUCCAGACUCCUACGGGAGGCAGCAGUGGGGAAUCUUGCGCAAUGGACGAAAGUCUGACGCAGCAACGCCGCGUGAGGGACGAAGGUUUUCUGAAUUGUAAACCUCUUUCGACAGGGACGAUAAUGACGGUACUGUAGAAGAAGCACCGGCCAACUAUGUGCCAGCAGCCGCGGU
rnacentral:rRNA from 1 species